UACGUAGGGGGCAAGCGUUGUCCGGAUUUAUUGGGCGUAAAGAGCGUGUAGGCGGUUAUACAGGUCCGCUGUGAAAACUGGAGGCUUAACCUCCAGACGUCGGUGGAAACCGUAUGACUAGAGUCCGGAAGAGGAGAGUGGAAUUCCUGGUGUAGCGGUGAAAUGCGCAGAUAUCAGGAAGAACACCCGUGGCGAAGGCGGCUCUCUGGGACGGUACUGACGCUGAGACGCGAAAGCGUGGGGAGCGAACAGG
rnacentral:rRNA from 1 species